UCAGAAUAGCAACCUGACAAGCAUAAACCAAUGUCUCAAUUUGUAGGCAGGACAGUGCGUUUGAGCUUUCCAAGUCAUCUUUGAUCUUCAGAUCGUAGGUUGGUUCAGGUGGUUGUACUGCAGAUAAGGAAGACGUCUCCACUAUAGGAUCAGGAUGUGGAGGUCCAAUAGAUAGCUUGGGUGAUAGGUGGGUUCAGGUGGUUGUACUGCAGAUAAGGAAGACGUCUCCACUAUAGGAUCAGGAUGUGGAGGUCCAAUAGAUAGCUUGGGAGGCCUCUGUGUUGAAUCAGGAAAAGAAAAUAAGAACUGAAAGGAUCAACCAUCAACUUGUAAUAUACUAACAAAAAGAUCUCAACUGCUUAAAAUCAAUGAUGAUAUCAUGCGAUACCAC
rnacentral:lncRNA from 1 species